rnacentral:lncRNA from 1 species
AGCCUCGUACUGGUGCGAACCGGCUCGGUUCGCACCGGUACAUGUGGGAACCGGUGCGAACCGCUCGGUUCGCACCAGUAUGAGCUCGAACCGGUGCGAACCGAGCCGGUUCGCACCGGUUCGCUUCUGAAAAAUAGUGCCAGCGCUGUGGCACUUUGAAAAUGCCACAGCGCUGGCCAGAGGCUGGCACUUUCAAAAGUGCCACACUGGGGCACUUUUCAAAGUGCCACUCAACCCGAUUUUAGAUAUUCGAGAGUGCUUUAAAUGUAUGUAAUUGAUUGUAUCUUAAUUUGAAAAUAUUUUAUGUUCUUCAUCUCAUUAUUUGAAUCAUUUGGAAGUAAUAAGUUGCAUCAUCUACUUUUAACCUUAAACCUAAACAUAAAAACAUCAAAAAAAUAUCCAAAAGUGAAAGAACUCCAAAAAAAAAAAAACGACUAUGGGGUCGAAACCAGGCCGAAUGUGCCCCAUCGGUACGGUAUCGGUUCGGCUCGGUUCGGCACCGGUACCGUACCGUUACCGGAGCCGACCGGUACGUCGGUACCAUCGGUACCGCGAACCUUGGGUAUAAGUAUUCUUACAUUAGCAAUGAGGAUAUGAGCGACCUUUAGGGUCUAAGUUAACCUUUGUAAGAAGAUGUGAAAUUAUGGGAACUAUCGUAGCUUUUUAGAAAUAUGAAAUGUGCUUUGGUUGUUUUUAUAGUGAUUUAUUCUUGAUUCGAAGAUUUCAAAGUUUUUGUAUUUUCAUUAUUGAAUUUUUUUGCA